rnacentral:lncRNA from 1 species
GAAUAUUUAUUGGUUUCAGUUGUAGAAGGCUUUGAAUGUUUAGUUGCUGAAUUUCUACCAGGCCUCCAUAACAUAUAAACUUUUGAGGUAAAUGGUCUUGGAUGUCACAAGACUUGUGCUUCACGGAUAAUCUUCUAUUUGCUAGGGUAGAAGCAGGCCUUCUAGUUGGGAAAUCAUUCUCAAGAUGAUUUUCAUUUGAGAUUUGAUGGCUCCAUGGUUUGUCAUUUUUGUAUUGUUGUUG